CACCCUUUGGAUGAAAAGCAAAUGAUUUAUCCGGAUUUUGUUCAUCCGAAACUAAAUCACUAGUAUCAACAUCCGGUGUAAGUUUUGCUUGUAUUUUGGAGAAACUCGAUUGAUUAACAAACUUGGUUUACCACUACAUCGUCGCUUAUUAUUAUUUGGUAUGUUCCAAUCUAAAAAGGGAUUUGCUCCCUUAACAUCUCAGAUUUUAAUAAAUAAAAGACGAAAUGAUACAUUCAAAUGCCUUACAUUUUGUUUGUCAAUGUCAUGUCAUUAGUCAUUCUCACCAGCUUUAAAUAGCAGAACAGAACGAACACUAUCACCAAUUCGUAUUGUGGCUCUUUGCAUGUGUCUUAAAUUCUCAUAUUUGAUAAUAAAUGCAACAAUAAAAUAUUUCCCUUAUUCUGCCACAGUUAUGCACCAGUCAAUUGCCCCCAGGCAGGUCUUGUUUAUACCAGGGAUAGCAGGGGAAAUGGGCCAUGUUUUUACGUUCCAGGUGGACCGGCAGUGCUGAGUGAAUGCAGUGUUAUUGUUUUUGCGCUGAAAACAGGGAAUGGGCCUAACCUAGGAUGUCCCCAGGGGCAUUUGACAGGGAUCUGGUCAUUUCGUAACCUUAACCAUUUCGUAACUGCUGAAUCUUGGUUAUUUCGUAACCAUUUUGUCAGUCAAUUUGUAACCGUCAAGAAAUCAAUUGCUCAUAUGGUAACCACCAUUUAACAAGGUGAUAAAUAGUACACUUAGCACCUCGUUAAGUGUAUUGUUCGAACCUGGAUGUAUAUGGCACAGCAACCAAGACACCAAUUGAAAGACAUUACUCAAAUUCUCACUAGUAACAAGCCAAUAAUUUAUGUUACUCAAUAGUUAUUAGAUAUAUAUAUAUAUAUAUCAUGCUAAAUUAGAAAUGAUUUGUUAUACUACCAAAAUAUGUUAAUUAUUUUCUUACAUUUUGCUUACUUAUAAACAAUAAUUUAAGACUGAUCGCGAUGUAUUUUUGAGUAAAAUUACGUGUCAAAAUAAUUCUGUGUAUUAGGAAUUCGCGAAUCACGUGUCACUUUGUUUUGACAGCCGGUACGUCAUUAAAUAUUACACCUGUGAUGUUAUGUUAACACGAUAAUCGAUAAUGAUGAUUGCGCUGUGGAUUGACUGUCGCGCGAUAAUCAAACGAUAAUCAAACUUGUGAAAAGAAAAUUGAUUAAAACAUUUAUUUGUUUGUUGCAGAAAAUAAAGAACUAGAAACGUUUUUUUAGUGAUCAUUUUGAAGGGUUGUUUUAUCUAAAGACUUCUAUGAUUAAAUCAAAUUAGAGCGGUGCUUUAAUUAAACUAUCAAACAUACUAAACAAGCAUUAAAUUAAGUUUGAUUGCAAUAUAAGUUGUAUUUAUCAAUCAAGUAAAAAAUGACAUUUAUAUUUCCAUAAUAACCUGGUAGUUAUUUGUUAAUUUGUUUUAAUUCAUGGAUAGGUUUAUUGCGAGUGUCAUGGAAAGCUGGAACUUUUCAGUACACAACAUGCAAACUGAGAAUGAACUGUGUGUGUGAACAAAAACGCAAGGCGGCUAUGGUAAGUUGCGUCAAGAUAUCCUUGGGACCCCCCCCCCCCCCCUUGGACACGCAAUACAAUUCGUGUUUCGCUGAUCUGUUGGCUGGGAUCAGAUCAUCCAUUUGGGGAUUUAGAUAUGUUACCCCAGCCAACAGGCUGCAUGUUUAAUUUUACUCAAUACUAAGCUUUGUUUUAGUGCGAACAUCAACAUGUUUAUCUAAUUGCAGUUGCUGCUUGGGACAAUAAAGUUAAGUCAGCAACCGUCUACCAGACUGCAAGAUUCAUCUCUUCCAAAGGAUGUCGUACAUUUCCAGAUACACUGUGUUUUGUGUGGAUAAGAAAUGCAGAGUGGUACCACCAAUCACCUAAGCCACAAUUCCCCUAACAGACAAUAGGCUCAUGGGGACAGUUCCUGCAAAUUACAGAAAAGCUCUCAAUUGUAGCCCUACGAACAUCAGAUACUGCCGAUGGUGAAGCUUGGGUGCACCAGGCCGGUUUUCCAGCCGUGUGGAAUCAACAUCUCCAGCUGAACUGGGGCCGGGAAUUAUAUAAGACUCCUUAGCAGCAUGAGUGCCAGCCAGUCAUUGCUGUUCUUUGCAUUGCUGAGGAGGACAGUCCUGCCAACAUAACAGUUUGUUCAAUAACAGGAGACAAACAGAAACACAGAGGUGCUACACAUUCUGAUGGAAAGACAAAAGCAUCUCCCAUCAUUUUGGCGUGGCUCAGAUCAAGAGGAGAAUUUUAAGAAAGGUGAUGGUUGGGCACACACAAGAAGACAUAGAUCACAGGGUCUAGCCAUAUGAGUAGAUAGGAGUGUCACACUCUGCCAAACUUACUUCAUCAGACAGGCAGAAAGCUUCUCAAGAUCCCGCACUGCACACUAAGACAUAGUCUUUGACUACAACAAGGUGAUGAAAGUACAGAGAGGUCCAAUUGAAAUCAAUUCUGUGCUGCGUCAUUUCUUCAUUCUGGAAGUCGAUGGACGUGAUUUAUCAUGGCAUAAAGUGUGCAGUUUGCCGACUAUCAGCAGUCUUGUUCACCAGCUGUGCAACUUGAGCUGGUAGCUUUAUUGCUUGAAGCCACUGCAUAAGAGGGGGAACCUGCAGGCUCAUCAAAAAGUCUCAAAAGUUGAAACUAGGAAAAGAAGUUUAUCAAGAGUGUGAAUCUAUUUUGAAAACAAUCGUUACAAUGAUUUGGUUUCCUUUGAAACUUGAUACAUACUAUGAAUUGAGAUGCUUAAAGAAAAACCGCUAUUCAAAUAUCAGGAAACUGCCUUUUUCAUACUAAAGGGUAAAUGAUGUCGCCAUUUCCUGUAUGUAUUUAAAUAAGAUAUGUCUCCACAAUUAAUAUUUUUAGGGAAUUUUUCUCAACCUAAUGACUGAGAUUAAAUUGUACAGCGUUAUAUGAGCUUAAUAUGUGUUUUCUCAUUCUUUAAAAUUGGUGAAAAAUUGUCAGAAGAUAAUUAGACCAGUAUCCAUUACUGCAAUCAUACAAUCAAAUAUACAGGGACAAGCCCACUGGGCAUAUAAUAUAAUUAAACUCUGUUCAGGGGCACGAGGCAAACAGAGUUACUUUCAAACGUUAAAGCUGCACUCUCACACUUUAGAUGUUUUGACAACCUUUUUCAUUUUAUGUCUUGGAUUGGAACCAUCCAAUUUUUGCGAAAAAUUAAAUCCCAGAUUUUUCUAUAUAAGUUAAAACAUUGAUGUUUUUUAUGCACUUUUCUUAAACCGUUAGUAACAUUAAUUUUCGAACGGAAAUAUGAAAUCUGCGAUCUGAUCUUUUGUCAGCAAUCUUUUAUCAUUGGUUUGCAGAUAAUUACGCAAAAACUUAAUCAUUCCAAGACAAAAAAGUUGUGGAAACGGUAUAUCUGUGAGAGUGCAGCUCUAAAUGUUUAAUUGCUUGAUUCUACUACUGUAUUAGAAAUUACAGGGAUUGGGGUAUAUUUUUAGUGUUUUUAUUGCUUGUUUUUGAUUCAUACAGUCAUACUUUAUUCUUCAGGGCACAACUUACAAAUAGACAAAACUGGAAAAUGGUCAUAUCAAAAGGUCAAAGAUAAUGCAAGUUGAACAAUCAUAUUGUUCAUGGCUUGUAUUUUUGGUAUAUUUUGUUGCAAAUGCUAUAGAAAAGUUGAAAGUUAAAAAUAAAUUCAUAGUUGAAAUGAUGGCUUUGAAUGGUAUUGUCAGAUGAGAAACGGCACUAUUAAGAAAUAGGUAUAAUGGUACUUUAUUUAUUUUAAUCAAUUUUAGAUAUUAUGAAAAUUAUUAUCUUAUUUAGUACAUGAGACCUUUUAAACAGUUAUUGACAAUAUAACAAUGUGUAUAUGAAGCUUUAGAUCAACACUUAAAGCUGCACUCUUACAGAUUGUCAGUUUAGACACAAAAUUGUCUCAAAAUCGGCUGAUUUGGUUAUCAUUCCUUUAAUUCAGUCAUAUUAGAUAAUUCACAAUAGAACCAAUCAAAAAUGUUUGGUAAAACUGCCAAAAAGUUCAUUUACAUUAAAAGUUCAUUUACAUUAAAUUGUUCGUAAUGCUUUUAGUCAUUGUUCGUAAUGCUUUUAGUCAUAAAACAUCAUUUUUUUAACAUAAAUAUGAUGAACUGCAAUCUGAUCUUUUUUCAGCAGUCUUAUAUCACUUAAAAUUGGGUCUAGACAUUUCUGCAAAAAAUACUCCAUUCAUAGACAAACAAUAAAAGAGUACCGGUAGUCAAAACGAUCAAUCGGUGGGAUUGCAGCUUUAAAUACACCUUUUAAGACCGCUGUAAAAUUCCAAUGGUUUGCCUAAAUCUUUAAAGCUAGCAUACUGUUUAAUUGACAACCAUACUUAUUGUUUAAAAGUGUCAUGAUAUCUUUGUACAAUGUUUUUAUAUAAUUCAUUAAAGAAGUCAAAACAAAUUUGUUUAUCUUGUAAUUUGUUAUCUAUUAUUUAAUUGACUCAGACAAAAAUGGGAACGUCAGUGCUAGUUCUUUUACUAUUAACAUCCCAUGAAAUUUCUGUUGGUGUAGCAGCAAGGAGGUGUUACAUUAAGGAUGCAUCAUUUAAACCAAAUUAUACAUUCAUAUGCACAUCAUACAGGCGUGUAGCCGCCUAUACGUGAAUACGCUGCUGAAUCCACAUGAUUCUGACAAAAAAAUCAACCAAAGUUGCAGUAUGCGAACUUGACUACAUGAAUCUAAAAUAGGUUAUUUUCCAGUA